UACGGGGGGAGCAAGCGUUGUUCGGAUUUACUGGGCGUAAAGGGCGCGUAGGCGGUCAGCACAAGUCAGUUGUGAAAUCUCCGGGCUUAACUCGGAAAGGUCAACUGAUACUGUGCGACUAGAGUGCGGAAGGAGCAACUGGAAUUCUUGGUGUAGCGGUGAAAUGCGUAGAUAUCAAGAGGAACACCUGAGGUGAAGACGGGUUGCUGGGCUGACACUGACGCUGAGGCGCGAAAGCCAGGGGAGCAAACGGG
rnacentral:rRNA from 1 species